rnacentral:rRNA from 1 species
UACGUAGGGUGCAAGCGUUAAUCGGAAUUACUGGGCGUAAAGCGUGCGCAGGCGGUGAUGUAAGACAGAUGUGAAAUCCCCGGGCUCAACCUGGGAACUGCAUUUGUGACUGCACAGCUGGAGUGCGGCAGAGGGGGAUGGAAUUCCGCGUGUAGCAGUGAAAUGCGUAGAUAUGCGGAGGAACACCGAUGGCGAAGGCAAUCCCCUGGGCCUGCACUGACGCUCAUGCACGAAAGCGUGGGGAGCAAACAGGG